AUGAACGCUGGCGGCGUGCCUAAUCCAUGCCAGUCGAGCGAACGGACGAGAAGCUUGCUUCUCUGAUGUUAGCGGCGGACGGGUGAGUAACACGUGGAUAACCUACCUGUAAGACUGGGAUAACUUCGGGAAACCGGAGCUAAUACCGGAUAAUAUUUUGAACCGCAUGGUUCAAAAGUGAAAGACGGUCUUGCUGUCACUUAUAGAUGGAUCCGCGCUGCAUUAGCUAGUUGGUAAGGUAACGGCUUACCAAGGCAACGAUGCAUAGCCGACCUGAGAGGGUGAUCGGCCACACUGGAACUGAGACACGGUCCAGACUCCUACGGGAGGCAGCAGUAGGGAAUCUUCCGCAAUGGGCGAAAGCCUGACGGAGCAACGCCGCGUGAGUGAUGAAGGUCUUCGGAUCGUAAAACUCUGUUAUUAGGGAAGAACAUAUGUGUAAGUAACUGUGCACAUCUUGACGGUACCUAAUCAGAAAGCCACGGCUAACUACGUG
rnacentral:rRNA from 1 species